rnacentral:rRNA from 1 species
CUACCCUUGACAUGUCAGGAAUCCCGAAGAGAUUUGGGAGUGCCCUAAAGGGAGCCUGAACACAGGUGCUGCAUGGCUGUCGUCAGCUCGUGUCGUGAGAUGUUGGGUUAAGUCCCGCAACGAGCGCACCCCUCGUCGUUAAUCGCCAUCAUUCAGUUGGGCACUUUAAUGAGACUGCCGGUGACAAACCGGAGGAAGGUGGGGAUGACGUCAAGUCCUCAUGGCCCUUAUGGGUAGGGCUUCACACGUCAUACAAUGGUCGGUCCAGAGGGUUGCCAACCCGCGAGGGGGAGCUAAUCUCAUAAAACCGAUCGUAGUCCGGAUUGCAGUCUGCAACUCGACUGCAUGAAGUCGGAAUCGCUAGUAAUCGCGGAUCAGCAUGUCGCGGUGAAUACGUUCCCGGGUCUUGUACACACCGCCCGUCACACCAUGGGAGCGGGUUCUGCCAGAAGUAGUUAGCCUAACCGCAAGGGGGGCGAUUACCACCGCAGGGUUCGUGACUGGGGUG